rnacentral:rRNA from 1 species
CAGCCGCCGCGGUAAAACGUAGGUGGCAAGCGUUGUCCGGAAUUAUUGGGCGUAAAGGGCUCGCAGGCGGUUUCUUAAGUCUGAUGUGAAAGCCCCCGGCUCAACCGGGGAGGGUCAUUGGAAACUGGGAAACUUGAGUGCGGAAGAGGAGAGUGGAAUUCCACGUGUAGCGGUGAAAUGCGUAGAGAUGUGGAGGAACACCAGUGGCGAAGGCGACUCUCUGGUCUGUAACUGACGCUGAGGAGCGAAAGCGUGGGGAGCGAACAGGAUUAGAUACCCCAGUAGUCCCUGUCUCUUAUAC